rnacentral:lncRNA from 1 species
CCGGCCGAAGCUUCGGCCGGUCGACUCGCUCAGUCACGCGCGUACGCUCAUGUACGAGAGUCACGCGUCCACUCACAACCGCCCACUUCCCUUAUCCUCUCUCACGGGUGCUGCUGGCCACACAAUCAAUCCACAUCCAUCUUUUUCUUCCACCUCCUGUGACGCCGCUGCUCCCACCGCUCCAUCUCUUAUUACUCGGCUGUCAUUUGGUGUGCCACCGCCGCGAGCGUUGCCAUGGAGCCGAAGCGGCCACCAGCAGAUCAGCAGCCGUGCCUGCUACUUCGGAGGUCCUCACUUUUUUGCUGCAAUCGGUUUGUGGGAAGCUGCAACCGGCCGUCUAGGAGCUGCGACCGGCGACGGCCACCUGCGGGAUGCGGCGGCGCUGGAAACGGUGACAUCAGGGAUGCUGGAACCCGUGGUGUUUUUUGCUGCUACCAGCUGUAAUUUUUGCUGGAACUGGUGUGUUCUUUUUCCUUGGAUCGGUGUCGGCGGUGAUUUUCUGCUGGAACCAAGUUCUAUUUUUGCUGGAACCAGUGAUAUGUUUUCUGCUAUGGGAAGAAUUUUUUGUUGGAACUGGUGUUUCCUUUGCUCGAAUUGGUGCCAGCGGUGAAUUUUGUUGGAACCAAGAUGUUUGUUUUGCUGGAAACAUAGAUGUGUUUUGCUGCCACCGACGGUAAUUUUUGCUACAUGGUACUACCAUCGUCUCUGAAUCUUGCUGGAACCAAGAUGUUGUUUUGCUGAAAACAGAGAUGUGUUUUGCUGCUACUGACGGUAAUUUUUGCUACUUGGUAAUACCAUCGUCUCUGAAUUUUGCAAGAUCCAGUACUCUUUUUUUUGGUACCAUUGCUUUGCUUUUUGCUGCAACCAAAUGAUUUUUUUGCUACCACUGUCUUUGAGUUUUGCUGGAACCAAAUGAUUUUUUUGCUACCAUUGUCUUAGUUUUUGCUGAAACUAGCACCUAUUUGUUCUACUAUCAUCUUUGGAUUUUUUGCUGGAAGUGUCGUCGAUUUUGCUACAACCGGCAAAUGUUUUUGCUACGUCCAUUCAUGACGAAGAUUAGCUACAUCCUUUUUUUCAUGGUGUUUCUACAGGCUCGGCGAAGAUUAGCCGCGGGCGGGGGUGGCCGGCAAGCACGGGCGGCGCGGGGGUGGCCGGCAAGCAUGGGCGCGAGCGCGGGGGCGGCCGGCAAACAUGGGCACGAGCACGGACGGCGCGAGUGUGGCCGGCGAGCAUGGGCGCGAGCACGGACGGCGCGAGGGUGGGCGAGCACAGGCGCGGAUGCGGACGGCGCGAGGGUGGGCGAGCACAGGCGCGGAUGCGGACGGCGCGAGGAUGGCCGGGAGCACGGGUUCGAGCGCGGGCAGUGCAGGGUGGCCGGCAAGCAUGGAUUGCGCGAGACAGGCGGCGAGCAUGGAGAUCUCCCUUUUUUCUUUUUUCUUCACGCGUGUGUGAAAGGGAGAAGACGACUCAAUCGCGCUAUCCAGACCGUUUAUUUGUACAGGAUCCAACGCCUGGCAGCGGACCGGCCAAAACUUCGGCCGGUGCGCCGGCGCCUAGCGUCGCCCAAAAUCGUCCUAUACCGUGUGGUAUGCGCGUGCGGUGGAGUGUAGGUGUAGUGUGAGAAGCUCCUAGCGUGUCGUCUUGUGUCUCAAAAAGAAAUGCAGUUCGUACUGAGCAUCAGUGACAAAUGUUCGAUCGAGCUUACCAACACGUCAUUAUUCAUACGUCGCUUCAAGAUCGUUCGCAGCUUCGGCCGGUCGACUCGCUCAGUCACGCGCGUACGCUCAUGUACAAGAGCCACGCGUCCACUCACAACCGCCCACUUCCCUUAUCCACUCUCACGGGUGCUGCUGGCCACACAAUCAAUCCACAUCCAUCUUUUUCUUCCACCUCCUGUGACGCCGCUGCUCCCACCGCUCCACCUCUUAUUACUCGGCUGUCAUUUGGUGUGCCACCGCCGCGAGCGUUGCCGUGGAGCCGAAGCGGCCACCAGCAGAUCAGCAGCCGUGCCUGCUACUUCGGAGGUCCUCACUUUUUUGCUGCAAUCGGUUUGUGGGAAGCUGCAACCGGCCGUCUAGGAGCUGCGACCGGCGACGGCCACCUGCGGGAUGCGGCGGCGCUGGAAACGGUGACAUCAGGGAUGCUGGAACCCGUGGUGUUUUUUGCUGCUACUAGCUGUAAUUUUUGCUGGAACUGGUGUGUUCUUUUUCCUUGGAUCGGUGUCGGCGGUGAUUUUCUGCUGGAACCAAGUUCUAUUUUUGCUGGAACCAGUGAUAUGUUUUCUGCUAUGGGAGGAAUUUUUUGUUGGAACUGGUGUUUCCUUCGCUGGAAUUGGUGCCAGCGGUGAAUUUUGUUGGAACCAAGAUGUUUGUUUUGCUGGAAACAUAGAUGUGUUUUGCUGCCACCGACGGUAAUUUUUGCUACAUGGUACUACCAUCGUCUCUGAAUCUUGCUGGAACCAAGAUGUUGUUUUGCUGGAAACAGAGAUGUGUUUUGCUGCUACUGACGGUAAUUUUUGCUACUUGGUAAUACCAUCGUCUCUGAAUUUUGCAAGAUCCAGUACUCUUUUUUUUGGUACCAUUGCUUUGCUUUUUGCUGCAACCAAAUGAUUUUUUUGCUACCACUGUCUUUGAGUUUUGCUGGAACCAAAUGAUUUUUUUGCUACCAUUGUCUUAGUUUUUUGCUGGAACUAGCACCUAUUUGUUCUACUAUCAUCUUUGGAUUUUUUGCUAGAAGUGUCGUCGAUUUUGCUACAACCGGCAAAUGUUUUUGCUACGUCCAUUCAUGACGAAGAUUAGCUACAUCCUUUUUUUCAUGGUGUUUCUGCAGGCUCGGCGAAGAUUAGCCGCGGGCGGGGGUGGCCGGCAAGCACGGGCGGCGCGGGGGUGGCCGGCAAGCAUGGGCGCGAGCGCGGGGGUGGCCGGCAAACAUGGGCACGAGCACGGACGGCGCGAGUGUGGCCGGCGAGCAUGGGCGCGAGCACGGACGGCGUGAGGGUGGGCGAGCACAGGCGCGGAUGCGGACGGCGCGAGGGUGGGCGAGCACAGGCGCGGAUGCGGACGGCGCGAGGAUGGCCGGGGAGCACGGGUUCGAGCGCGGGCGGCGCAGGGUGGCCGGCAAGCAUGGAUUGCGCGAGACAGGCGGCGAGCAUGGAGAUCUCCCUUUUUUCUUUUUUCUUCACGCGUGUGUGGAAGGGAGAAGACGACUCAAUCGCGCUAUCCAGACCGUUUAUUUGUACAGGAUCCAACACCUGGCAGCGGACCGGCCGAAACUUCGGCCGGUGCGCCGGCGCCUAGCGUCGCCCAAAAUCGUCCUAUACCGUGUGGUAUGCGCGUGCGGUGGAGUGUAGGUGUAGUGUGAGAAGCUCCUAGCGUGUCGUCUUGUGUCUCAAAAAGAAAUGCAGUUCGUACUGAGCAUCAGUGACAAAUGUUCGAUCGAGCUUACCAACACGUCAUUAUUCAUACGUCGCUUCAAGAUCGUUCGCAGCUUC